UCCCUAGUGGCUCAGAUGGUAAAGAAUUUGCCUGCAAUGCAGGAGACCUGGGUUCGAUCCCUGGGUUGGGAA
rfam:TPA: Bos taurus chromosome X, whole genome shotgun sequence.